rnacentral:misc_RNA from 1 species
AUCCCCAUUCCCCCGCCUCCACAGACCCCUCAAAAACACGUCCCAGCCACCAUCACUAUCCCUAAACCUUCACCUAUCGUUAUCUCAACCCCACCCUUUUCUAUAAGUAAGAGAAAGUAAGGCUUUCAAAGGUGCCUUGGGCAUAUGAAACCAGGACGGUAGCAGUGAAAGUGAAGAAGAAAGAGGGUGAAGAAUGAACACUCGAAAAAAAAAAGAAGAAAAGAAUAAUUGUUAAAGAAGGAUGGUUGGUGGGGUAGGGCGUACCUAAGCGAGCAAGGGAGCACGGCGCGAAGAAGCCCUCUCUCACAGCCCCCUACACCGCCCAAUAGCGGCCUACAGCGCAGGGCUGUACGCAGCAGUGAAUCAUUUUUCCGCCUUCGAGUUAGGGAAUGGGACUUUCUAUGGGUGUAUAUAAUGAGACUGACGUCGAGUGUUAAGUUUAUUUGAUUACCUGCCUUCCACUUCACUACUCCUUCAGUAGUCCUUAGGAAUUCCUAAGGCUCCGAGAAGAGGAGUUUACUUCCGACAGUACUCUAAUCUAAUCUUUUUCUCUUUUGGAGGUUUCAGGCCUAGCUUGACGCGGCAGUAGGGACUGCUUUCCGACCGUUUUCUUCCCGAAGUCAGACUACUACCGAGCUCCGCACCAGGGCUCAAACCAUGCCUCAAGGAAACAAUAGCCCCACAACCCAAAGGCUUUCCGAGAGAUUCGAGAGACAUGGUUCAACUAAUGGUGCACUAUCCUUCUCCCAAACAUUUCUCAGCGAAACCACUGAGUACAACUUAUUAAACGGAAACUACGAACAAGAUCUUAGCGCUGUCUCAACCAUCCACAGCUCAAGGGAUUAAUGUGCUGUUUUUUAUGCUGGAGUCAUGAAUCGCCUCUUUGCACAAUUUGUUUUUAAUUAACCCUUUUUCCGUGUUCCUCUUUUUAGUAGAAAGCGAAAUGAGAAUAAUGAGAAUCGUAAUAGUAGUUCCACGCCCCCUCUCGCCCCUUAAACCAACCAAAAAGAAGAAGGCGCUUUCCGAAAACGAUC